rnacentral:lncRNA from 1 species
UUCCUCUAUCUCUGUCUCUAUCUCUCUCUGUCUCUCUGUUUCUCUGUUUCUCUGUCUAUCUCUCUUUCUGUCUCUGUCUCUUUCUUCCUCCCCCUCGCUUCCUUCCUUCCUUCCUCUUUCAUUGUCUCCUCUAUCACCUUUUCUCUCUCCCCAACUCUCUGUCUCUCUUCCUUCCUCUCUCUCUUUCUUUCUUCCUCCCUAUUCUCUUUGUUUCUUCCUUCCUUCCUUUUUCUAUCUUUGUCUCAUUCUCUAUCUCCUUCUCACUCUCUCCCCAUCUCUUUCUCUCUCUCUUUCUUUCGUUUUCCUGUCUUUUUCUCUUUCUCUCUCUUUCUUUCUUUCUCUCUCUCUCUUCCUUCCUUUCUUUCUUUCUCUCUUUCUUCCUUUCUUCCUUUCUCUCUCUCUUUCUCUCUCCCUUCCUUCCUUCCUUCCUUCCUUCCUUCCUUCCUUCCUUCCUUCCUCCUUCCUUCCUUCCUUCCUUCCUUCCUUCCUUCCUUCCUUCCUUCCUUCCUUCCUUCCUUCCUUCCUUCCUUCCUUCCUUCCUUUCUCUCUCUUCCUUCCUUCCUUUCUUUCUUCCUUUCUUUCCUUCCUCAUCUAUUUAUAAGACAUUUCGAUAAGUAGACACAUUAUGAUUAAAAUAAUCAUAUAUCUAGCUGCG